rnacentral:rRNA from 1 species
GAUGAACGCUGGCGGCGUGCCUAACACAUGCAAGUCGAGCGAGAAGUUUGAAAGAUGAGUUUUCGGACAAGUGAUUCAAACGGAAAGCGGCGGACGGGUGAGUAACGCGUAGGCAACCUGCCCCGUGCAGAGGGACAGCCUCGGGAAACCGGGAUUAAGACCUCAUGAUAUCGGGUUAUCACAUGGUAAUCCGGUCAAAGAUUUAUCGGCAUGGGAUGGGCCUGCGUCUGAUUAGCUGGUUGGUGGGGUAACGGCCUACCAAGGCGACGAUCAGAAGCAGAACUGAGAGGUUCAUCGGCCACAUUGGAACUGGGACACGGUCCAAACUCCUACGGGAGGCAGCAGUGAGGAAUAUUGCACAAUGGGCGAAAGCCUGAUGCAGCAACGCCGCGUGAGCGAAGAAGGCCUUUGGGUCGUAAAGCUCUGUCCUUGGGGAAGAAACAAAUGACGGUACCCUUGGAGGAAGCCCCGGCUAACUACGUGCCAGCAGCAGCCGCCG